rnacentral:rRNA from 1 species
GUAGUAUAUUCCUGCCCAGUGACUAAAGUUCAACGGCCGCGGUAUCUUAACCGUGCAAAGGUAGCAUAAUCAUUUGCCUAUUAAUUGUAGGCUAGCAUGAAAGGAUAAACGAAAUAAAAACUGUCUCAAUUAAUCAACUAAAAAUUAUUUUUUACAUGAAGAAAUGUAAAUAAAUUCGAAGGACAAGAAGACCCUAUAGAGCUUUAUUUAAAUGUAUUAUACAACUACAUAUAAUUCGGUUGGGGCGACCCUGGGACUAUAAAACACCCAAUAAUAAAUAGAUUUCUUAAUCAAUCAUCUGACCCUUAAAAGAUCAUAAAAUUAAGCUACCUUAGGGAUAACAGGCUAAUCCCAUUAAAGAGUCCAUAUCUAUAAUGGGGGUUGGCACCUCGAUGUUGGCUUAGGGUAUCAAUAUAACGCAAAAGUUAUAUAAUGAUGGUUUGUUCAACCAAUAACCC